rnacentral:rRNA from 1 species
UACGAAGGUCCCGAGCGUUGUUCGGAAUCACUGGGCGUAAAGGGAGCGUAGGCGGCGCGGUAAGUCAGAUGUGAAAUCCCCGGGGCUCAACCCCGGAACCUGCAUCCGAUACUGCCGUGCUAGAGGACUUGGAGAGGUAGCUGGAAUUCUUGGUGUAGCAGUGAAAUGCGUGGAUAUCAAGAGGAACACUCGUGGCGAAAGCGAGCUACUGGACAACUCCUGACGCUGAGGCUCGAAGGCCAGGGUAGCGAAAGGG